AAGAUUUUAAGUUAAAUAAACUAUUAACCUUCAAAGUUAAAUAUACUAUUUUAGGUAAAUCUUA
rnacentral:tRNA from 1 species